AAUCAACGCUGGCGGCGUGCCUCAGACAUGCAAGUCGAACGCGAAAGGGGGCUUCGGCCUCCGAGUAGAGUGGCGCACGGGUGAGUAACACGUGGGUAAUCUACCUCCGGGUGGGGAAUAUCAGCUGGAAACGGCUGUUAAUACCGCAUAAAUGCAGCGGCAUCUAUGAUGACAGUUGUUAAAGCGGGGGACCGUAGCAAUACGGCCUUGCGCCUGG
rnacentral:rRNA from 1 species